UCAAGAUGAUCAAGAAGGACAUGGUUUGUUUACAAACAAAAGUGAACGAGUUGAAAUUAUUGUAGAUUUUCUUGUGUAUUCUAAAAAAUCCCAGAAAUAAAUCAGGGUUAACCAGUUGUAAUGCGGCCAAAAAAUUAUCACAAGAAGCGACAACUUCUAGCCAGUACAUUUUUAUAAGAUACUGAUCGCGCCGACUGAGCAGCAACCGUAACUGUUACAUCAUCCGGAACGGCAACCGAAACCGGUUGAGGAAACCCCCCAGAGGCAAUUCAAUCAAUCUGAAAAGGAUAUUAGGAGGCGCGACAGCGUCAGGCAAAGGUGCUUUUUCCGACCAAAGAGAUACGGAUUGACUAGCAACACGUUUCUGCAGGAAAGAUCCGUCCGGGAAGCGCCGCAAGUAACAGCAGCAAAGCGGUGAAACACGGUCACGAGGAACUGCGACAGUGUAGAAGACGUUUCGUAUCUAAAACUAGAUGCGGACAUGCGCGAGCCGCGCGAGCAAACGGGAGAAGUCGUUUCGUCAGCGGCCCGUACAUCUUUGGCUGGCUGCUCGAGAAAGCUCUACAGCUCCAAAAAAAAAAACGACAAAAGCUGUUCUUUUCGGAUAAUUGGUGUAACCGGUGUCCGGACCUUUCAUUGAUUGGGGACAGCUCCGAUGAUUACGGCGAAAAUGUCAAAACUAAAAGCAUAAGGAGCAACAAUAGGAAGACAACUGGGCAAAUUAGGCAAAUAUUGUCAGCUUUCAAAAAGCGCAAAUCGCAGAACGACGGUAUCGUAAAGUCGGCGGACCAGUCACCGAAGCGGGCCAAGAACAGGAAAACAACUAGCGAACGGUUUUGACUCCGCGUCGGAUGAUGAUAGAAUGGAGUUAAUUCAUAUUUCGAAGUGAGUAUGUUUCCAGUAUUCAAUUUUAGAUUUUCUAGUAACAAUUUGAAGAAAG